rnacentral:misc_RNA from 1 species
AUCAUUUACUGGUUUAGUUUCCCUAAAUGCUGAUGCAUGUGUUGAAGGCAAUAAUCUUUAUAUAUCAAAGGAUAAUUCUGUUGUGCAAGGAAAGAUAUCUGAUGGUUUUGGACGUGCUGGGACAAUGGCUGCUGCCCUGGUUUUAAAGGUUACAGAUAGAAAUGGUCUUUGGGAUGACACUCUUAGUAUCUAUGCUGAGGCAUCCAAUGGGCAGAUGCCCAACCUAGACCUCAUCAAUAUUGUGAAUUAUUUAGCUGUACAUAGGCAAGGUUUGCUUGUACAGAUUCAGAAAUUUUGGUCUGAUCUUGAUUUAAAAUGGCUGGAGUUUUUGGGAAAAACAUUUGAAUUACUAGGGAAAGUGGCCAGAAGUUUAAAUCCCAACUGGAAAUUUGGUAUUCCAGCUUCAGAUUAUAUCGAAGGCUCUACUACACUUGCAAGUUCAUUGUAUUACCAGGCACUAGGUAUUCCCACAGGUCCCCAUGGUGCUUUCCGUGAUUUCCAAGUUGAUGCAAUUACUUUGGAGAUCUCACCCAGAGUUUCUUCUAAUAACAAAGCCAGGCGUAAUGAGUUUCUUCUGCGAGGUGGAAGGUUGAUUGAAGGAGUUAUAAGAUCAGUAAAUAAUCUCCUCGAGAAGUUUCACCAGUCAUUUUUUCUAUAUCUCUUAACAUCUCCCAGUAAGUUUGUGUCAGUUGGAGUCUACAUGAUUGCUUUUGCACUCCUUGUAGCUCCACUUCCCCUGGUUGCUGCGUCCCUUUAUGCUGAUGCUAAUGAAUUGGAUUUUGGCAUGAAAAAUGACAAAUAUACUCCUAUGGACACUGCAUCAAAUGAGAUAAACAUAACUUUCAGGUCAUGGAAAUGGCUCAGUGCAGCAAAAGAAGUGUUUGUCGUUCAUAUAUGGGGUGUGAUAGUUUUGUUGCUUCCAUAUUUCAUUUGUCAAAUGCGUGAUUGGAGCCCAACAACCAGUUUUGUUUCCUGGGUAUUUCUUGCAAUGCUUAGCCUCCUAAUCUUGUACCUGAUCUUAGGUUCACCAUUUUCUCAUGGCUAUUCAUUGGAGAAAGGGGAAUGGGCUAUGUUAAAAUCAGUGACCAUCUCAGCCAUUUUCAUUGGUUUGCUGCUCAUGUCAGUUGUUAAUUUUGCUACAGCAGAAAUUGGGGCAUUACUAAUGGUGCCAAUGUGUUUGAUGGCUCAACCAUUGAAGCCUGACAUUAGAGUUGCAAGUUUGAGGAGCUUCUUCAGGGUUAUUUGUAACCUGGUUUUGGGUUUUGUUGCAUUUCCACCAGUUACAUUUUUUAUGUUAAAGGGUAUAUUUGAAGGUCCUGACGGCAUUAACCUUGGUGACUUCUGGAAUUGGUUGGAGUCUCUUUGGGCUUGGAACAGUGCUACUUACAUCUAUAUAGGUAUGGUCCACCUACCGUGUUGGGUGUUGUGCAUACACAUUUUACUUCAUUCUUGUUGAC